rnacentral:tRNA from 1 species
GAGAGUAAAAGAAUGCUCUAGACCUGCUAAGUCCAAGAGCCCGCAGUUAAACUCUGUGGUACUCCC